UACGAAGGGGGCUAGCGUUGCUCGGAAUUACUGGGCGUAAAGCGCACGUAGGCGGUUUUUUAAGUCGGUGGUGAAAUCCUGGAGCUCAACUCCAGAACUGCCUUCGAUACUGGAAGACUUGAGUCCGGGAGAGGUGAGUGGAACUGCGAGUGUAGAGGUGAAAUUCGUAGAUAUUCGCAAGAACACCAGUGGCGAAGGCGGCUCACUGGCCCGGUACUGACGCUGAGGUGCGAAAGCGUGGGGAGCAAACAGG
rnacentral:rRNA from 1 species